AAGGCUUAUCAAGCUUAGUGAUAGCUGGUUCUCCACGAAAUCUAUUUAAGUAGAGUGAUUUUUUAAAAGUAAUUAGGUAAUUCUCUAACGGAGUGGUCGCUCGCUUUGUUAAUGUCUGAAUUAGUUACUUUAAAUAAAUUAAACAGACGGUUAGCGCUAAGGUUAAUCGUCGAGAGGGAAACAGCCCAGAGUACACGCUAAAGUGACUAAUUAAGUUUAUUGUAAAAGGUUUAGCAAUGUUUUAAUGGAGAGGUAGGUUUGGAAACAGCCAUCCUUUAAAGAAAGCGUAAAAGUUCAAACAUUAAUUCAAGUUUUUUAAAACUUAAACGUCUGAGCCUAUAAAUUAUUGUCAAAAAACUUAAACUGAAGCGGUACUAUGCAUAUAGCAUAGGUAGUGGAGUGUGCUUUAUCUUGGAGAAGGUAUAUUGGAAAAUAUACUGGAGAGAUAAGUUUUAAUAUUGCCAACAUGAGUAUAGACUACCUUUGAG
rnacentral:rRNA from 1 species